GACGUCGUAGCCGAGUGGACAGGCGGCGGUCUGCAGUACCGCUUCACGUGGGUUCGAAUCCCACCGGCGUCUCCG
rnacentral:tRNA from 1 species